rnacentral:rRNA from 1 species
UACGUAGGGGGCAAGCGUUGUCCGGAAUCAUUGGGCGUAAAGCGCGUGUAGGCGGCCCGGUAAGUCCGCUGUGAAAGUCGGGGGCUCAACCCUCGAAUGCCGGUGGAUACUGUCGGGCUAGAGUGCGGGAGAGGCGAGUGGAAUUCCGUGGUGUAGCGGUGAAAUGCGCAGAUAUCAGGAGGAACACCAAUUGCGAAGGCAGCUCGCUGGAACGUAACUGACGCUGAGACGCGAAAGCGUGGGGAGCAAACAGG